rnacentral:rRNA from 1 species
UACGUAGGGGGCAAGCGUUGUCCGGAUUUAUUGGGCGUAAAGAGCGUGUAGGCGGCCAUACAGGUCCGUUGUGAAAACUGGAGGCUUAACCUCCAGACGUCGAUGGAAACCGUGUGGCUAGAGUCCGGAAGAGGAGAGUGGAAUUCCUGGUGUAGCGGUGAAAUGCGCAGAUAUCAGGAAGAACACCCGUGGCUAAGGCGGCUCUCUAGUACGGUACUGACGCUGAGACGCGAAAGCGUGGGGAGCGAACAGG